rnacentral:rRNA from 1 species
UAAGGAAUAUUGCUCAAUGGGAGAAAUCCUGAAGCAGCAACGCCGCGUGGAGGAUGAAGGGUCUAUGACUUGUAAACUCCUGUAAAGAAGGAAAAAAUUCCCAUUAGAUGGGAGAUGAUGGUACUUCUGGAGUAAGCCCCGGCUAACUACGUGCCAGCAGCCGCGGUAAUACGUAGGAGGCAAGCGUUAUCCGGAAUUACUGGGCGUAAAGGGCGUCUAGGUGGGACGUCAAGCGGGGUGUGAAAGCUCCUGGCUUAACUGGGAGAGUGCGCUCUGAACUGACGACCUAGAGGGCAGGCGACGGAGGUGGAAUUCCCGGUGGAGUGGUGAAAUGCGUAGAGAUCGGGAGGAACACCAGUGGCGAAGGCGGCCUCCGAGCCUGAACCUGACGCUGAAGCGCGAGAGCAUGGGGAGCAAACG